CAACCGCUUUUCUUUUCUGCUCACUAGCUCUUGAGAGAGAAUUGGGGUGCAGAAAAUGGAAUAGGUCUUCUCUCUUUAUAGGGGAAGGGAUGGCAUAGCUUUAAAGCUAAGUUAUUAGCUUUCUUCUGAAGCUAAGGGAGGAGAUAAACCUGUUUAAAUAAGCUGGAAUGGAUUUGGUGUUGAUCCAUAUCUGAAAUUUGAAAGGAAGUUGAAGAUGAUGCUGAACUGGUGUUAUCUUCUGCACCUGUUUCAUAUUUUGGCUCUAACUUUCUGCUUAAAAUUCCAAUUGAUUCAAGAUUGGUUUUUUUUGAAAGGAAAUUCAAUUCUCUGCAACGUUUCCAGAAAUAGAGAAAACCAAAUUUCAAUGUUUUGCAGGCCAAAAAUGCGAUUCCAGUUGCUGCUGAAAAUACAUCAGGUGUAGGUGCUGUGGUUCACAACGAGAAUGGGGAGGUUAUGGCUGCACUAUCGGCGAAAGGGGAUGCAGUGGCUAAUAGUGAGGGGGCCGAGGUGUUGGCAUGUCGGACAGCUUUGGAAUUUUCUGUGGAUGCUGGUUUUUCGGAUCUGAUCAUUGAAGGUGAUAACGCGACUGUGAUGAAGACUAUCUCAUCAGCACAACAUAAUUUGUCUCGACUGGGACUGGUUUAUGAGGAUAUUCGUUGCAUUGUAGCAGGUCUUCGGUCUGUGUCUUUGAGUUGUGUCCAUCGUAGUGCCAACUAAGUUGCCCACUCUUUACCUCGUUACACUAGCCUAAUAGAUAAUGACAUUGUAUGGAUGGAAGAGUCGCCACCGCCAGCCACUGAGGCUUUGUACUUGGAUUUUAGAUUUUCUAAUGAAUGAAUGAAGGUUGUUUUCGGUUUCAAAAAAAAAAAAUUAUUUUGUUCUAAUGUAAUUCCUUUUUUCCCCUC